UACGGAGGGUGCAAGCGUUAAUCGGAAUUACUGGGCGUAAAGCGCACGCAGGUGGCUGAGUCAGUCGAUUGUGAAAGCCCUGGGCUUAACCUGGGAAUUGCAGUCGAUACUACUCAGCUAGAGUAUGGGAGAGGGCAGUGGAAUUCCCGGUGUAGCGGUGAAAUGCGUAGAUAUCGGGAGGAACAUCAGUGGCGAAGGCGGCUGCCUGGCCCAAUACUGACACUCAGGUGCGACAGCGUGGGGAGCAAACGGG
rnacentral:rRNA from 1 species